GAAUUCAACUCCUACGGGAGGCAGCAGUGGGGAAUAUUGGACAAUGGGCGAAAGCCUGAUCCAGCAAUGCCGCGUGAGUGAUGAAGGCCUUAGGGUUGUAAAGCUCUUUUACCCGGGAUGAUAAUGACAGUACCGGGAAAAUAAGCCCCGGCUAACUCCGUGCCAGCAGCCGCGGUAAUACGAAGGGGGCUAGCGUUGUUCGGAAUUACUGGGCGUAAAGCGCAUGUAGGCGGCUUUGUAAGUUAGAGGUGAAAGCCCAGAGCUCAACUCUGGAACUGCCUUUAAGACUGCAUCGCUUGAAUCAUGGAGAGGUCAGUGGAAUUCCGAGUGUAGAGGUGAAAUUCGUAGAUAUUCGGAAGAACGCCAGUGGCGAAGGCGACUGACUGGACAUGUAUUGACGCUGAGGUGCGAAAGCGUGGGGAGCAAACAGGAUUAGAUACCCUAGUAGUCCAGGCGUU
rnacentral:rRNA from 1 species